CCCCUGGUGGUCUAGUGGUUAGGAUGUAGCACUCUCACCGCCACGGCCCGAGGUUCGAUUCCCGGUCAGGGAA
rfam:Manacus vitellinus contig18240, whole genome shotgun sequence.